CCCGGCGAUCGGCGCACGGGUGAGUAACACGUAUGAAACCUGCCCGUAGCAGGGGGAUAAGCGGAAGAAAUUCCGUCUAAUACCGCGUAACAACCCAUGGAGGCAUCUCUGUGGGUUUAAAGGAAGCGAUUCCGGCUACGGAUGGUCAUGCGUCGCAUUAGCUUGUUGGCGGGGUAACGGCCCACCAAGGCGACGAUGCGUAGGGGUUCUGAGAGGAAGGUCCCCCACACUGGUACUGAGACACGGACCAGACUCCUACGGAAGGCAGCAG
rnacentral:rRNA from 1 species